rnacentral:rRNA from 1 species
AACGCGAAGAACCUUACCCAGGCUUGACAUGUACCUGAAAACCGUGGAAACACGGUCCCCGCAAGGCAGGUGCACAGGUGCUGCAUGGCUGUCGUCAGCUCGUGCCGUGAGGUGUUGGGUUAAGUCCCGCAACGAGCGCAACCCUUAUCAUUAGUUGCCAACACGCGAGGUGGGGACUCUAAUGAGACUGCCUGGGUUAACCAGGAGGAAGGUGAGGAUGACGUCAAGUCCGCAUGGCCUUUAUGUCUGGGGCUACACACGUGCUACAAUGGUCGGUACAGAAGGCAGCAAGACCGUAAGGUGGAGCAAAUCCGUAAAGCCGAUCACAGUUCAGAUUGUAGUCUGCAACUCGACUACAUGAAGUUGGAAUUGCUAGUAAUGACGUGUCAGCAACAACGUCGUGAAUACGUUCCGGGCCUUGUACACACCGCUCGUC